rnacentral:tRNA from 1 species
GGACAUUAAAGCUGAUACUGCCCUCCGAAGGCAGAGGUCGUGAGUUCGAAUCUCGCCGGGUCCGCCA